rnacentral:lncRNA from 1 species
GUGCAUGUUUUGGAUUUAAUUGAUCCGGUGUAACUUUAAAACACAUUUAUUGAUUAUUUUCUGAUAAUGUACAUUUUUCAGCACCUGUUUGUAACACAGAUUAGUAUUUCAAACUCGGAGCGGACAUUUUAUUGUAGGUUUUUACUGAGAUUUACGGACCUAGCAAGCUAUUUUUACGGCAUUGCCAUUUCUUUUCUCUAGGAAAAGCUUUGAGAGAUAUCUGCACCAAGUUUUUUUUAUAAACGUUUAGUACAUGUAUGCCCUGCUGACUGCAAAUUUUGAGGUCGAUUGUACUUGUAGUUUCAGAGAACAUGUGGAUUUUUUUUUCAGAAGUGACGUAAGAACAAUAUUAAAUUUCAAUUUUUCUUGAAUAAUUGAGAGUUUGUUCCUUCAAUAAACUGUCAUGAUUAAACAGUCAUACAGAUUGAUUGAUUGAUUGAUUGAUUGAUUGAUUGAUUAGUUGGUUAGUUGGUUGGUUGGUUGGUUGAUUGGUUGGUUGGUUAAACACGUUGGAUAGGGUCAAUUGAAACACGGAAAAAGAAACAAAGAAGAUCUUGGACCCUAUAUUAAACACAUGAGACGGAAACAUGAUUGAUUGAUCAUGAUCAUGAUUGAUUGAUUGAUUGAUUGAUUGAUUAAUUGAUUAGUUGGUUGGUUGGUUGGUUGGUUAAACACGUUAGAUAGGGUAAAUUGAAACACGGAAAAAGAAACAAAGAAGAUCUUGGACCCUAUAUUAAACACAUGAGACGGAAACAUGAUUGAUUGAUCAUGAUCAUGAUUGAUUGAUUGAUUGAUUGAUUGAUUGAUUGAUUGAUUAGUUGGUUGGUUGGUUGGUUGGUUGGUUAAACACAUUGGAUAGGGUCAAUUGAAACACGGAAAAAGACACAAAGAAGAUCUUGGACCCUAUAUUAAACACAUGAGACGGA